GAGAUUCCCUUAGUAGCGGCGAGCGAACAGGGAGGAGCCCAGCACCUAAGCGCGCGAUGGCUGCGGACCGUUUGGCGCAUUUCCUUCCGUUCGAACUACGCUGCGACCGGUCUGGUCACUGAAAGUUGUCUGUCUUUGAAAGCGGGCACCGGAAGGUGGCCGGCGGCGCGCUCUUUCGGGAGUGUGCUGCCGGUGUUUUAGCCGGCUCGUUUCACGAGUGAGCGAUCGCCAGACCGGGGACGAUUCUAGCCCUGUGCGGGCUACGCCGAGCACUUUCGCUUUAUGCGGGAGCGAUGCGACGGGACAGGUAUUGUCGCUUGGUCGGCCGUUUCACCUUUGUGUGGGCGGCUGCCGGCGAUUUCCGCUGGUGUUCGUUCGCACUCGCCGUUGCUCAGGUGGUCAGCAGCGAGUAGGUCGGUAACCCACCCGACCCGUCUUGAAACACGGACCAAGGAGUCUAACAUGUGCGCAAGUCAUUGGGUCUUGAUUAGGCCCAAAGGCGUAAUGAAAGUCUGCCUUGGGAUCCCGCGUUCCUUGUGGAUGUGGGCGCACCAAGGGCCCGUCCCGAUCGCCUCGUCGACGGGGCGGAGCAAGAGCGUACACGUUGGGACCCGAAAGAUGGUGAACUAUGCCUGGGCAGAACGAAGCCAGAGGAAACUCUGGUGGAGGUUCGCAGCGAUUCUGACGUGCAAAUCGAUCGUCAGACCUGGGUAUAGGGGCGAAAGAC
rnacentral:rRNA from 1 species